GAUGAACGCUGGCGGCGUGUCUAAUACAUGCAAGUCGAGCGAACAGACGAGGAGCUUGCUCCUCUGACGUUAGCGGCGGACGGGUGAGUAACACGUGGAUAACCUACCUAUAAGACUGGGAUAACUUCGGGAAACCGGAGCUAAUACCGGAUAAUAUAUUGAACCGCAUGGUUCAAUAGUGAAAGACGGUUUUGCUGUCACUUAUAGAUGGAUCCGCGCCGCAUUAGCUAGUUGGUAAGGUAACGGCUUACCAAGGCAACGAUGCGUAGCCGACCUGGGAGGGUGAUCGGCCACACUGGAACUGAGACACGGUCCAGACUCCUACGGGAGGCAGCAGUAGGGAAUCUUCCGCAAUGGGCGAAAGCCUGACGGAGCAACGCCGCGUGAGUGAUGAAGGUCUUCGGAUCGUAAAACUCUGUUAUUAGGGAAGAACAAAUGUGUAAGUAACUAUGCACGUCUUGACGGUACCUAAUCAGAAAGCCACGGCUAACUACGUG
rnacentral:rRNA from 1 species